UACGAAGGGGGCUAGCGUUGCUCGGAUUUACUGGGCGUAAAGGGCGCGUAGGCGGAUGUUUAAGUCGGGGGUGAAAGCCCGGGGCUCAACCUCGGAAUUGCCUUCGAUACUGGACAUCUUGAGUACGGGAGAGGUGAGUGGAACUCCGAGUGUAGAGGUGAAAUUCGUAGAUAUUCGGAAGAACACCAGUGGCGAAGGCGACUCACUGGCCCGUUACUGACGCUGAGGAGCGAAGGCCAGGGGAGCAAACGGG
rnacentral:rRNA from 1 species